rnacentral:rRNA from 1 species
GUAGGGGGCAAGCGUUGUCCGGAUUUAUUGGGCGUAAAGAGCGUGUAGGCGGCUUCACAAGUCCGCUGUGAAAACUCGAGGCUCAACCUCGAGCUGUCGGUGGAAACUGUGUGGCUAGAGUCCGGAAGAGGAGAGUGGAAUUCCCGGUGUAGCGGUGAAAUGCGCAGAUAUCGGGAAGAACACCCGUGGCGAAGGCGGCUCUCUGGGACGGUACUGACGCUGAGACGCGAAAGCGUGGGGAGCGAACAGGAUUAGAUACCCUGGUAGUCCACGCCGUAAACGAUGGGUGCUAGGUGUGAGGGGUGUCGACUCCCUCCGUGCCGAAGCUAACGCAUUAAGCACCCCGCCUGGGGAGUACGGCCGCAAGGCU